rfam:Ovis aries breed Texel chromosome 1, whole genome shotgun sequence.
UCUCAGCUCAGUUGGUAAAGAAUCUGCCUGCAAUGCAGGAGACCUGGGUUUGAUUCCUGGGUUGAGAA